rnacentral:rRNA from 1 species
AUUGCUAUUGGGAUCCGAUUUAGCCAUGCUAGUUGCACGAGUUCAGACUCGUGGCAGAUAGCUCAGUAACACGUGGCCAAUCUACCCUUCGGAGAGCGAUAACCUCGGGAAACUGAGGCUAAUAGCUCAUACCACAUCCACGCUUGAAUGCCGGAUGUGCCAAACGCUCCGGCGCCGAAGGAUGAGGCUGCGGCCGAUUAGGUAGACGGUGGGGUAACGGCCCACCGUGCCGAUAAUCGGUACGGGUCAUGAGAGUGAGAACCCGGAGACGGAAUCUGAGACAAGAUUCCGGGCCCUACGGGGCGCAGCAGGCGCGAAACCUUUACACUGCACGCCAGUGCGAUAAGGGGAUCCCAAGUGCGCAGGCAUAGAGCCUGCGCUUUUCUGAACCGUAGGAACGUUCAGGAACAAGGGCUGGGCAAGACCGGUGCCAGCCGCCGCGGUAAUACCGGCAGCCCAAGUGAUGGCCGAUUUUAUUGGGCCUAAAGCGUCCGUAGCUGGCCACGCAAGUCUAUCGGGAAAUCUACCCGCUCAACGGGUAGACGCCCGGUGGAAACUGCGUGGCUUGGGACCGGAAGGCGCGAAGGGUACGUCCGGGGUAGGAGUGAAAUCCUGUAAUCCUGGACGGACCGCCGAUGGCGAAAGCACUUCGCGAGAACGGAUCCGACAGUGAGGGACGAAAGCUAGGGUCUCGAACCGGAUUAGAUACCCGGGUAGUCCUAGCCGUAAACGAUGCCUGUUAGGUGUGGCUCCCACUACGAGUGGGUGCUGUGCCGUAGGGAAGCCGCUAAACAGGCCGCCUGGGAAGUACGUCCGCAA